rnacentral:lncRNA from 1 species
GUGAUGUUUUAGUCUGCUUCUGCUCAGUUAAAAGCAGCCCAUACUCCCUGGCGUUAUAAACUGUUCUCAGCAAGAUAAUUACCUACUAGAAAUUCCACAAUUAUUUCAUUAUGCAUUAUUAGGGAGAAAAAAAGAAUUAAAAAUGUCAAUCCCAUAAUGUAGUUAAUGGAAAUUAUUAAAUUGUAUAAAUAACCUCUGUGAGAGUCAUUAUUGGCUUAGCAUGGGCUAAGAAAUCUCAAGUAAUUAUGUGUGGAGCCACAUCAGACCAAAGUUUCUGUAAAAACAAGGAUUCGUUAUGUCAAAAGUGACACUGGCCACAAAUAAAAUAAGUUGGUGGGGAGUGGAGGUGGUUAUCAUCCGAGAAGUUGCCACUACAGCUCAGGGAGUAAGGAUUUGGAUGUAGUAGGUGUUUAUGUGUAGACUGUCUAUUUUUGCACGGGAUUCCCGAGCAACCACUGUGGUUAAAAGUGGACCAUCUGCAAGCAGUACCUGGGGAUGCAUUUGAAAUGAGACCUCAAGGCCUGGCAAAUCUGGUAAGUAAGGAUCUACUAGAAGGCUUGGGACGGCCAUUUCUGAGGUCAGGUUGAGCCUUGCCCACUUGUGUUGAGAAACAUGUCUCCAGAGGUGGUGGGAUGAGGUUGUCUCACCUGGGCACAAACAACCUGUUCUCUGUGUCCACAGUGCCUGCACCCCAGCAGGCAUCCAGGAGCCACCACUGUCCUUCCAGCUGCACUGCGUUCCACAUGUGGCUGCUCUUCUGCUGCUGGCACCGCUGACCUCCACGGGCACACGGGCCUCGGCUGAACCCUGGGAUCUCCACGCUGCUCAGACCUGCCUCCCUGCCAUGGAGAGACAAUAGGGAGAGGUAACAACACACCAAACACUGCUUGGCACCUGCUUUUUGGAAACCAGCCCAACCUCCGUGGCAGCAGGAGGAGAAAGCCCAAGGCGAGUUUUACCUGCACAUUUCCCAGCAUAAAUGAGCAUAUCCAGAACACACGGCUCUCCCCGUCUGCAGGACCUGCUCUGGCAUGUGGAUCUUCUGAGAGAGCCCCAGGAAGCCAUCCACAUCAUAUUCUAAGAAAGGGAGAAUACCACCCAAUUUCAGGCUAA